GCCUACAUAGUAUAGUGGUUAGUACACAGCCCUGUCGCGGCUGGGACCCGGGUCCAAUUCCCGGUGUGGGCG
rnacentral:tRNA from 1 species